AAUCGAAAUUCUGCUCCAGGAAGACCAUGUUCCGAUUUUCCACCACACUGUACUCAAAUCGAUUUACAAGAUAAAGAGGGGGAAAAAUGCUCCGUGAACUAUUUACAAGCCUGUAUUAAAAAAUAAAAAAUAUCUGACAUGAAUCCAGCCACGUUCUAAAUUAUACAAAAUUACAAAUUCCGUAUUUCGCUCGUCGCCAACGAUCGAUCAUGCUUGCGUAAGUAUGCUCAGGGCCACCAGCGCGGCGGCGGCAGCGGAGAACCAUACGACGCGGCCACGCGGCUCGCCCGCGGCGCGGCGUCCGUUCGACCCCGUCGCAGUCGUGUUCCGGCCGCCGUAGCCCCUUGUUGGCACGUAGCCACCGCCGGCCCCUCGCAUGUAACUGCUCCCACCGCCGCCGCCGGCUCCCGGCACGGCACUGCCUCCCCCGCCAGUGCUUCCUCCAUCGCUGCUGCCUCCGCCUCCUAUCCUUCCACCACGGCCUCCACCUCCGCCUCGGGACGCCCCUCCCUGGAUCCGCGAGGCCACGCAGAGCAGCACCAGCAGCAGUGCGCAGACCAGCCUCGCGUUGCCUCUGAGUCUCAUGGUCAUGGCCUCUCUCUCGUCUAGUCGUAUUCCCUUUCUCUUCCGUUUGGUUUGGUGCGGUGAGGCAUCGUGGCCAUGGACCUUAUGUACAUGGAGGAUAAGGAAGAAGGCAGGAAAGCGUCUGCAGCAGAUUGUAUUGGACCUUGAGGCCAUGGAAGAAGGAGAGGCGGGAAAGCGUCAACGGCCGAUUGGGGUGGGUUCUCUGCUCGCCGUAGACGCACACGUCGAUCAGCGGCUACAGCAGCUCCACCACAGUCAAAGACGUGUUAUUAUAUGUCAUUAUCUACGUGUGCGUGUGGCCAACCGCACAGAUAAUGCAAAAAGCAAGCAUAAUGUACAUGCAUUGCAAUGUGGUGUCUGUGGCGCCCGCGCGGUGGCGACCGGUCCACAAGUUCUGACGGCGCCGUCCGGCUUCAUUAGUGUGAAGCGAACUGUUCAGCCCUGUGGAUAAUACGUUUUUG
rnacentral:rRNA from 1 species